GACGAACGCUGGCGGCGUGCUUAACACAUGCAAGUCGAACGAUGAACCCGGAGCUUGCUCUGGGGGAUUAGUGGCGAACGGGUGAGUAACACGUGAGUAACCUGCCCUGGACUCUGGGAUAAGCGUUGGAAACGACGUCUAAUACCGGAUAGGACCUUGGAUCGCAUGAUCUGGGGUGGAAAGUUUUUUCGGUCUGGGAUGGACUCGCGGCCUAUCAGCUUGUUGGUGAGGUAAUGGCUCACCAAGGCGUCGACGGGUAGCCGGCCUGAGAGGGUGACCGGCCACACUGGGACUGAGACACGGACCAGACUGCUACGGGAGGCAGCAGUGGGGAAUAUUGCACAAUGGGCGAAAGCCUGAUGCAGCAACGCCGCGUGCGGGAUGACGGCCUUCGGGUUGUAAACCGCUUUUAGUAGGGAAGAAGGGCUUCGGCUUGACGGUACCUGCAGAAAAAGGACCGGCUAACUACGUG
rnacentral:rRNA from 1 species